rnacentral:tRNA from 1 species
GGAGAGGUGGCCGAGUGGUCGAAGGCGGCUCACUGCUAAUGAGUUAUAGGAGUCUAAAACUCUUAUCGCGGGUUCAAAUCCCGCCCUCUCCU